GACGAACCGUGCAAACGUUGUUCGGAUUCACUGGGCUUAAAGGGCGCGUAGGCGGCUUGCCAAGUCAGGGGUGAAAUCCUCCGGCUCAACCGGAGAACAGCUUUUGAUACUGGCGAGCUUGAGGGAGGUAGGGGCAGGUGGAACUUCCGGUGGAGCGGUGAAAUGCGUAGAUAUCGGAAGGAACGCCGGUGGCGAAAGCGACCUGCUGGAUCUCUUCUGACGCUGAGGCGCGAAAGCCAGGGGAGCAAACGGG
rnacentral:rRNA from 1 species